CAACGUCCCUAGUUCUUUGCGCACUGGCCUGUCCAGGUUUAAUAUUUGCCUUCGUCUCCUCUUCCACCUUAGAACACUACCCUGACCUUGGAGCUGACUAAGACAUCUUGUUUUUUCCUCUUCCUGGAAGGCCCAGCCCCCCAGAGGCCUUCCACAGGGCAGUCCGGCAAGGGGAUGCAGCGGAGGAGGCCUGCUGGCCGUCCAACCAUACUUCAAACCCCGUGGCUACAAUUGGCAGCCUGAGAGGGAAGGACCCCACCCAGCCCAGGAGCUUGGAACGAAUCCUUUGUUUCUCUGGGGUGGUGCUUGUCAGCAGCCGGGGGUCCCUCUCGGGGCCUGUAGCUAAGCCUGGUCUGGUGAACUCCACUCAAUCCGGCCCUGGAGCCUCCCCCAUCCACAAACGAGCCCCUCAGGACAACCUGCCUAAACCAAGAUCGUCAUUUGUCACUUCCCCCGCCCUGACGGCCUCUUCCCAGAUUGCGACACCCAGGAGCGGCACUGUCCUUUCAGCUGGCCAAGCCAGAAACCCGGAGCUCGCAGCCCUCCUUAUGAGCCCACCCGGAUACCUGGCACCCCAGACCUCUCUGCCACCCUUCCAGGGCCUACACGGACGGCCCGCGUCCAUCCUCCCGAGGGUGGACGGUCCCGUUGGCGGGUGUGUGCACUUCCAAGCCUAAGAGAAGGAAUCGAGUUAAGAUGAGGUCGUGUUCGCUUAGGAUGAGGCCUAAUCCAAUGUGACUGGUGUCCUUAUAAGAAGAAAGAAGACGCAGAAACGCACGCAGGAAGAAUGCCAUGUGACUGGAGGCAGACGUUAGAGCAAUACGUUGACAAGCCGUGGAGCUCCAAGGAUUGCCAGCAGCAACAGAGGCUAAGAGAAAGGCAAGGAAGAAGGCUCUCCUAGAGCCUUCAGAGAGGGCACGGCCCUGUGGACAUGUUGACCUCAGAUUUCUGGCCUCUGGGAUUGUGACAGAAUGAACUUUCAUUGUUGUCAGGCACCUGGUUUUUGGCAAUUUGUUACAGCAGCUUUUGGAGUUGUCUUACUUGAGUAUUAGAAAGGGCUGAAUGUCUUCUCUUUUUUUUUUUAUGAUUUUUUUUUUUAAAGUAAUCUCGACAUGCAACGUGGGGCUCGAACUCAUGACCCUGAGAUUAAGAGUCAUAUGCUCCACUGACUAAGCCAGCCAGAUGCCCCCAGGUUUUUAAAGGAGGAGAAAGAGAAGGAGCGGGAGGAGAAGGAGGAAAGGCUGAAGCUUGAAGUGAAUCUGCUAAGGGCUCAGCCCAGAUGUGCAGGGAGUAUUUGUUGAAGGAAUAAAUAUGUCUCCGUCAUACAAA